rnacentral:rRNA from 1 species
UAUCCGGAUUUAUUGGGUUUAAAGGGAGCGUAGGCGGGUGCUUAAGUCAGUUGUGAAAGUUUGCGGCUCAACCGUAAAAUUGCAGUUGAUACUGGGUACCUUGAGUGCAGCAUAGGUAGGCGGAAUUCGUGGUGUAGCGGUGAAAUGCUUAGAUAUCACGAAGAACUCCGAUUGCGAAGGCAGCUUACUGGACUGUAACUGACGCUGAUGCUCGAAAGUGUGGGUAUCAAACAGGAUUAGAUACCCUGGUAGUCCACACAGUAAACGAUGAAUACUCGCUGUUGGCGAUACACAGUCAGCGGCCAAGCGAAAGCAUUGAGUAUUCCACCUGGGGAAUACGCCGGCAACGG